rnacentral:rRNA from 1 species
AAAAAGCUCGUAGUUGGAUUUCUGGUUGGCUGUUUCUGCCCUCUUGUGAGUGCGCAGUGGUAGCCUACCAUCCUUCUGUUAACCUAGCAGCUCUUCACGGGGCUGUUAGGGGCUCAGAUAUUUUACCUUGAGAAAAUUAGAGUGUUUCAGGCAGGCUAGCGCCGGAAUACAUUAGCAUGGAAUAAUAGAAUAGGACUUUUACCUCUUCUGUUGGUCUGAGGGGUUCAAGUAAUGAUUAAUAGGGAUAGUUGGGGGCAUUAGUACUUAACUGUCAGAGGUGAAAUUCUCGGAUUUGUUAAAGACUAACUUAUGCGAAAGCAUUUGCCAAGGAUGUUUUCAUUAAUCAAGAACGAAAGUUAGGGGAUCAAAGACGAUCAGAUACCGUCCUAGUCUUAACCAUAAACUAUGCCGACUCGGGAUCCGGGGCGAGAUUUAUCCGCCUUCGGCACCGUAUGAGAAAUCAAAGUCUUUGGGUUCUGGGGGGGAGUAUGGUCGCAAGGCUUGAAACUUAAAGGAAUUGACGGAAGGGCACCACCAGGCGUGGAGCUUGCGGCUCAAUUUGACUCAACACGGGGAAACUUACCAGGGUCCAGGACAUAAGUGAGGGAUUGACAGAAUGAUAGCUUCUUUUCUUGAAUUCUUAUUGGGUGGUGGGUGCAUGGGCCGUUCUUAGGUGGGUGGAAGUGAUUUGUCUGGUUAAUUUCCGUUAACGAACGAGACCUUAGCCUGCUAACUAGUUCUUUCCAAUCAUGAUUGGUUAGAACUUCUUAGAGGGACUUUGUAAGCAAAUACAAGGAAGUUGAGGCAAUAACAGG